ACGAACGCUGGCGGCAUGCCUAACACAUGCAAGUCGAACGUGAUCCGGGACUUCGGUUCCGGUGAAAGUGGCGGACGGGUGAGUAACGCGUGGGAACCUGCCCAGUGGUAGGGGAUAACCGCGGGAAACUGCGGCUAAUACCCUAUGCGCCCUGCGGGGCAAAGAUUCAUCGCCAUUGGAGGGGCCCGCGUCGGAUUAGGUAGUUGGUGGGGUAACGGCCUACCAAGCCAUCGAUCCGUAGCUGGUCUGAGAGGAUGAUCAGCCACACUGGGACUGAGACACGGCCCAGACUCCUACGGGAGGCAGCAGUGGGGAGUAUUGGACAAUGGGGGCAACCCUGAUCCAGCAAUGCCGCGUGAGUGAUGAAGGCCUUAGGGUUGUAAAGCUCUUUCGGCGGGGAAGAUGAUGACGGUACCCGCAGAAGAAGCCCCGGCUAACUUCGU
rnacentral:rRNA from 1 species